rnacentral:rRNA from 1 species
UGAACGCUGGCGGCGUGCCUAAUACAUGCAAGUCGAGCGAACGGACGAGAAGCUUGCUUCUCUGAUGUUAGCGGCGGACGGGUGAGUAACACGUGGAUAACCUACCUAUAAGACUGGGAUAACUUCGGGAAACCGUAGCUAAUACCGGAUAAUAUUUUGAACCGCAUGGUUCAAAAGUGAAAGACGGUCUUGCUGUCACUUAUAGAUGGAUCCGCGCUGCAUUAGCUAGUUGGUAAGGUAACGGCUUACCAAGGCAACGAUGCAUAGCCGACCUGAGAGGGUGAUCGGCCACACUGGAACUGAGACACGGUCCAGACUCCUACGGGAGGCAGCAGUAGGGAAUCUUCCGCAAAGGGCGAAAGCCUGACGGAGCAACGCCGCGUGAGUGAUGAAGGUCUUCGGAUCGUAAAACUCUGUUAUUAGGGAAGAACAUAUGUGUAAGUAACUGUGCACAUCUUGACGGUACCUAAUCAGAAAGCCACGGCUAACUACGUG